rnacentral:lncRNA from 1 species
AGUUAGCGGAGCCUCAUUCUGAAGCAGUCGGUUGCCCUAACGGAGAACACACCGUCUAGAAGGGGUCAGUUAGGAAGAUCUCGAAAGGCCAAAUAUCAGAGGCAGCUGCCGCGAGGGCUUUGGCUAAUCGGCCAAUCUAUUCUCCUUCAACACCUCUGGCGUAGAGAAUUAACAUAGCAAAUGUCAGAAACAGAUGUCACCUGGUGGAAGGAGUGGCCUAUUUUCUAGCAUAAUGAAUGGGCUUUCUUGGUCAAAUUAAGGUUAUUCAAGACAUAUCAAUUGGCUGAAAUCAUUUAAAAUAGGAUGUAAGAAUUAACGCCAGUCUCUGGCCUCCACUCAGAGAUGGAGGCUGGGGCUUGCUCUCUUCACAGUCUUGUAUCCGGCCAUUCUCUUAGGAGGAUUUCCGGCUGACUGAUGGCAGUGAUAAGAACGCUGCUUCUGGAAUGUUGCAGCCACCUGAAAUGGACUGCCCGUGCACUGUGUGGUUUUGGUUGGGGCAAUUAAAAGAAUAUUGACCUGGAACUUUAUCAAGCCUUCAGAACAGAUGGAGGAAGGGGUCGUGAGCCAAGGAAUGCAAGCAGCCUCUAGAAGCUGGAAACGGCAUGGAAAUGGAUUCUCCCCUAGAGCCUCCAGAAAGAAUGCAGACUCACUGUGAUUUCAGACCUGCGAGACCCAUUUCAGAGUUUUGACCUCAAGAAGCGUAAGAUAAUACAUUUAUGUUAUUCUAAGGCACUAAGUUCAGGGUAAUUUGUUGCAGCAGCAAUAGAAAACUAAUACACAAGAUGAAAAGAAAUAAGGAAAUAUGACCACCAACUCCCAACAAGCAAGUCCCCAUUUUGUGCACUGUCAUGUGCACUGCGGCGCUGACCACCAUGGCUGCAUCACCCAGGCCCCCUUGCCCUCUGGGAUAUCAGACGUCAAAAUUUCUGCAAAUCUGCAUACAUCAAAAUGAGCUACAAACUAAAGAAGCGUUAUUUCCCCCAUAAAGAUCUGUUAUUUGUUAAUUCAAAUAGCCUACAGGUUCUGGAAGUCUUUGGAAUCUAUCCCUCACAAAUGUCAAGGAUCCACAGAUGCAAGUACAUCUUACUCUCCUAACAACCGGCUGGAAGUUGGCUAAGAAGAAGAUGGCCAGGCCAAUGCCCAGAUUCCCAAGUUGGACUGUUGGAAGAAUAAAGACGCUAUUACCAAGAAGAGAGAAAUUUGUAGAAGGAAAUGAAAAUUUUAGUUUUAGACAUCUUGAUUUUAAGGUCUGUUCUGACAGCUAGAUAAAUGAUAGGCAACAGGAAGAUGAGUCUUGAGAGAAAGACUGAAAAAAUGAGCUAUAAAUUUGGAUGUCUUCAGGAUAAAGGCAAAGGCUGAAGUUGGGGUGAAGGGUGUAGAAAAUGGCUCUUCUGAAGUCAGUCCAUGCAAACCCAGCUCUACAUGAACCUUAUGUGCAUCAAGGGUCAGCACUCACAGGCCACCUCACAGUUCAAGAUGUCAACUUUGCGAUCACUGUUCUUCUUCGUGUUCCACAUUUUUUCCUGAGGACACUUGAACUGCAUUUUCCCACACUAAAGUGACUACUCAAUUAAAAAGAAAAAUUAGACAAAGAAUGCUUUAGUUGCCCAUUUUAGCCACCUGAAGGCUAAGUCUGGAAGAGGUCCCUCUGCGAAAGUGCCACAGUCUGCAUCUUCCAUUUAGUUAAGUGUCCACAUCUCCAUUUAGCCGCCAUUACAUGAGCCUUCAUUUUGUUCCAAAGUUGAGCAGAAUUUGAUUUAACUGCCAAAAUACACAAACCAGUUUCUGAAAGCAAAAUGUUAAUUCGUCAAGUCAUGUCCUGUUUCCUUUUCUUUAUGGGAAGGUUUUUCAUUACAAAUUCAAUUUCUUUAAUAGAUAUAGGGCUGUUUAGAUUUUCUAUUCUGUUUUCUUUCUAUUAAGGGUGGCAGUACAAUGACACCAACUUGAGGAAAUGCUUAUAUUUUUAUAAUAUCUAACAAUAAAGGAGAAAAGGGCUCUCCUUACAAGAAUCUUUUGUUUAAAUCUUCCCUUUCUGUUGAAAAUUAAGCCACCAUGAAUGUGAAGCCAAAAAUGUUGGUCUUUGCUUCUAACACAACACAGAUGGACAAUGUGCCACUCUGAGGCCAUGCAGGGGAGCAGCAUUUCAGCACUAGAAAGGUCACAUCAGAAUUAAGUUGGUUUCAGUAAAGUGAAACCAAAUGAAAACUUUGCAUCCACCCCUAAACUCAAUUUUUUAAGUUGUUCCAUAAAGAUACAGUCAGGCGCUGAAUUGCUGCAGCGUGACCUACCACAGGCUCUGCUAUUCACAAUCUGGAAAGACGCUCUGGUUCACUGCCCAGAAAAUUUCAUCACUGAGCACCUUCAGUUCUCUCAUUAGACACUGCCUCACCCUCCGGAAAGUGCUCUGUGAAUGUUGAUGGAACAAAUUAAUGAAUUAAAUUACUAUUAUGCUUUUCCUUCUUGCUGAUUCUCCCAAAAAGGUGUAAAGAAGCUUAGUUUCAAAGUUUGAGUAAUUAAGAAGAGCUCUUUGGUCUGUAUCUAAUUUAGCAUAAAACACAUCAGAUGUGAACGACGCUUCACACCUGUGUAAGGGUUGGGACGCGCCAACUUUUGCUGUAAGAAAUUGUCGUGG